rnacentral:rRNA from 1 species
UACAGAGGUCCCAAGCGUUGUUCGGAUUCACUGGGCGUAAAGGGUGCGUAGGUGGCGAGGUAAGUUUGAUGUGAAAUCUCCGAGCUUAACUCGGAAAUGGCAUUGAAUACUAUCUUGCUUGAGGGUUGGAGGGGGGACUGGAAUUCUCGGUGUAGCAGUGAAAUGCGUAGAUAUCGAGAGGAACACCAGUGGCGAAGGCGAGUCCCUGGACAGCUCCUGACACUGAGGCACGAAAGCUAGGGGAGCAAACGGG